GAUGAACGCUGGCGGCGUGCCUAAUACAUGCAAGUCGAGCGAACGGACGAGAAGCUGGCUUCUCUGAUGUUAGCGGCGUACGGGUGAGUAACACGUGGAUAACCUACCUAUAAGACUGGGAUAACUUCGUGAAACCGGAGCUAAUACCGUAUAAUAUUUUGAACCGCAUGGUUCAAAAGUGAAAGACGGUCUUGCUGUCACUUAGAGAUGGAUCCGCGCUGCAUUAGCUAGUUGGUAAGGUAACGGCUUACCAAGGCAACGAUGCAUAGCCGACCUGAGAGGGUGAUCGGGCACGAGGGAGCGAAGACGCGGUCUAGAAUCCUACGGGAGGCAGGAGUACGACAUCUGCCGCAAUGGGCGAAAGCCUGACGGAGGAACGCAGCGUGAGUGAUGAAGGUCUUCGGAUCGUAAACCUCUGUUAUUAGGUAAGACGAUAUGUGUAGGUACCUGUGGUUAUCUGGAGGGUCCUUCAGAAGAAGGCCAGGCUAACUUCGUG
rnacentral:rRNA from 1 species